GAGACAGCUAGUGGAUUGACCGGCGUUGUAUUAGCUAGUUGGUGAGGUAAAGGCUCACCAAGGCGACGAUACAUAGCCGACCUGAGAGGGUGAUCGGCCACACUGGGACUGAGACACGGCCCAGACUCCUACGGGAGGCAGCAGUAGGGAAUCUUCGGCAAUGGGGGCAACCCUGACCGAGCAACGCCGCGUGAGUGAAGAAGGUUUUCGGAUCGUAAAGCUCUGUUGUUAGAGAAGAAUGAUGGUGGGAGUGGAAAAUCCACCAAGUGACGGUAACUAACCAGAAAGGGACGGCUAACUACGUGCCAGCAGCCGCGGUAAUACGUAGGUCCCGAGCGUUGUCCGGAUUUAUUGGGCGUAAAGCGAGCGCAGGCGGUUUUUUAAGUCUGAAGUUAAAGGCAUUGGCUCAACCAAUGUACGCUUUGGAAACUGGAGAACUUGAGUGCAGAAGGGGAGAGUGGAAUUCCAUGUGUAGCGGUGAAAUGCGUAGAUAUAUGGAGGAACACCGGUGGCGAAAGCGGCUCUCUGGUCUGUAACUGACGCUGAGGCUCGAAAGCGUGGGGAGCAAAACGGUGUAGAUACC
rnacentral:rRNA from 1 species